UACGUAGGUGGCGAGCGUUGUCCGGAUUUACUGGGCGUAAAGAGCGCGCAGGCGGUCGUUCAAGUCGCGUGUGAAAGCCCCCGGCUCAACUGGGAGGGUGCGCCGAAAACUGGAAAGCUAGAGUACUGGAUGGGAGAGUGGAAUUCCUGGUGUAGCGGUGAAAUGCGUAGAUAUCAGGAGGAACACCUGUGGUGUAGACGGCUCUCUGGACAGUCACUGACGCUGAGACACGAAAGCGUGGGUAGCAAACAGG
rnacentral:rRNA from 1 species